AUUGAACGCUGGCGGCAUGCCUUACACAUGCAAGUCGAACGGCAGCACGGGAGCAAUCCUGGUGGCGAGUGGCGAACGGGUGAGUAAUAUAUCGGAACGUGCCCAGUCGUGGGGGAUAACGUAGCGAAAGCUACGCUAAUACCGCAUACGAUCUAUGGAUGAAAGCGGGGGAUCGCAAGACCUCGCGCGAUUGGAGCGGCCGAUAUCAGAUUAGGUAGUUGGUGAGGUAAAGGCUCACCAAGCCGACGAUCUGUAGCUGGUCUGAGAGGACGACCAGCCACACUGGGACUGAGACACGGCCCAGACUCCUACGGGAGGCAGCAGUGGGGAAUUUUGGACAAUGGGCGCAAGCCUGAUCCAGCAAUGCCGCGUGCAGGAUGAAGGCCUUCGGGUUGUAAACUGCUUUUGUUCGGAACGAAACGGCGAGCUCUAAUACGGUCUGCUAAUGACGGUACCGUAAGAAUAAGCACCGGCUAACUACGUGCCAGCAGCCGCAGUAA
rnacentral:rRNA from 1 species